rnacentral:lncRNA from 1 species
GGUGGAUGCUCGCAAUGGUCAGGAAGUGGUUGCUAGGUAGCCUUUUCAUGAAGGAUUUGAACUCAUCUGAAUUCUCCAGAUCUUUAUAGGCUUCUGUCCAGGUCUUGGCCAUGUUGGCUAGAGUGUACUCCAUGAUCUGGAUGUCGGUGAUGGGGCAGUUGCACUGUGGGAACUCCUCCGCGCAUUGGCAGCCGCAUUGGCUGUUCCGGCAGAUGUACUCGCCCUCCCCAUUGCACAUGAUGUAGCUCAAGGCAGACUGGACAAACUUCUCU